rnacentral:rRNA from 1 species
UUAAGCGACUAAGCGUACACGGUGGAUGCCCUGGCAGUCAGAGGCGAUGAAGGACGUGCUAAUCUGCGAUAAGCGUCGGUAAGGUGAUAUGAACCGUUAUAACCGGCGAUUUCCGAAUGGGGAAACCCAGUGUGUUUCGACACACUAUCAUUAACUGAAUCCAUAGGUUAAUGAGGCGAACCGGGGGAACUGAAACAUCUAAGUACCCCGAGGAAAAGAAAUCAACCGAGAUUCCCCCAGUAGCGGCGAGCGAACGGGGAGGAGCCCAGAGCCUGAAUCAGUGUGUGUGUUAGUGGAAGCGUCUGGAAAGGCGCGCGAUACAGGGUGACAGCCCCGUACACAAAAAUGCACAUGCUGUGAGCUCGAUGAGUAGGGCGGGACACGUGGUAUCCUGUCUGAAUAUGGGGGGACCAUCCUCCAAGGCUAAAUACUCCUGACUGACCGAUAGUGAACCAGUACCGUGAGGGAAAGGCGAAAAGAACCCCGGCGAGGGGAGUGAAAAAGAACCUGAAACCGUGUACGUACAAGCAGUGGGAGCCUCUUAAUGGGGUGACUGCGUACCUUUUGUAUAAUGGGUCAGCGACUUAUAUUCUGUAGCAAGGUUAACCGAAUAGGGGAGCCGAAGGGAAACCGAGUCUUAACUGGGCGUUAAGUUGCAGGGUAUAGACCCGAAACCCGGUGAUCUAGCCAUGGGCAGGUUGAAGGUUGGGUAACACUAACUGGAGGACCGAACCGACUAAUGUUGAAAAAUUAGCGGAUGACUUGUGGCUGGGGGUGAAAGGCCAAUCAAACCGGGAGAUAGCUGGUUCUCCCCGAAAGCUAUUUAGGUAGCGCCUCGUGAAUUCAUCUCCGGGGGUAGAGCACUGUUUCGGCAAGGGGGUCAUCCCGACUUACCAACCCGAUGCAAACUGCGAAUACCGGAGAAUGUUAUCACGGGAGACACACGGCGGGUGCUAACGUCCGUCGUGAAGAGGGAAACAACCCAGACCGCCAGCUAAGGUCCCAAAGUCAUGGUUAAGUGGGAAACGAUGUGGGAAGGCCCAGACAGCCAGGAUGUUGGCUUAGAAGCAGCCAUCAUUUAAAGAAAGCGUAAUAGCUCACUGGUCGAGUCGGCCUGCGCGGAAGAUGUAACGGGGCUAAACCAUGCACCGAAGCUGCGGCAGCGACGUUUAUGCGUUGUUGGGUAGGGGAGCGUUCUGUAAGCCUGCGAAGGUGUACUGUGAGGUAUGCUGGAGGUAUCAGAAGUGCGAAUGCUGACAUAAGUAACGAUAAAGCGGGUGAAAAGCCCGCUCGCCGGAAGACCAAGGGUUCCUGUCCAACGUUAAUCGGGGCAGGGUGAGUCGACCCCUAAGGCGAGGCCGAAAGGCGUAGUCGAUGGGAAACAGGUUAAUAUUCCUGUACUUGGUGUUACUGCGAAGGGGGGACGGAGAAGGCUAUGUUGGCCGGGCGACGGUUGUCCCGGUUUAAGCGUGUAGGCUGGUUUUCCAGGCAAAUCCGGAAAAUCAAGGCUGAGGCGUGAUGACGAGGCACUACGGUGCUGAAGCAACAAAUGCCCUGCUUCCAGGAAAAGCCUCUAAGCAUCAGGUAACAUCAAAUCGUACCCCAAACCGACACAGGUGGUCAGGUAGAGAAUACCAAGGCGCUUGAGAGAACUCGGGUGAAGGAACUAGGCAAAAUGGUGCCGUAACUUCGGGAGAAGGCACGCUGAUAUGUAGGUGAAGCGACUUGCUCGUGGAGCUGAAAUCAGUCGAAGAUACCAGCUGGCUGCAACUGUUUAUUAAAAACACAGCACUGUGCAAACACGAAAGUGGACGUAUACGGUGUGACGCCUGCCCGGUGCCGGAAGGUUAAUUGAUGGGGUUAGCGGUAACGCGAAGCUCUUGAUCGAAGCCCCGGUAAACGGCGGCCGUAACUAUAACGGUCCUAAGGUAGCGAAAUUCCUUGUCGGGU